GAUGAACGCUGGCGGCGUGCCUAACACAUGCAAGUCGAGCGGCAGCGAGGGGUGCUUGCACCCUGUCGGCGAGCGGCGGACGGCUGAGUAACGCGUGGGAACGUGCCCCAAAGUGAGGAAUAACUGCCCGAAAGGGUAGCUAAUACCGCAUAUUAUCUUCGGAUCAAAGGAUUUAUCCGCUUUGGGAGCGGCUCGCGUCGGUUUAGGUAGUUGGUGAGGUAAUGGCUCACCAAGCCGACGAUCCGUAGCUGGUCUGAGAGGAUGACCAGCCAGACUGGAACUGAGACACGGUCCAGACUCCUACGGGAAGCAGCAGUGAGGAAUCGUCCAAAAUGGGCGAAAGCCUGAUGGAGCAACGCCGCGUGCAGGACGAAGGCCUUCGGGUUGUAAACUGCUUUUAUAAGUGAGGAAUAUGACGGUAACUUAUGAAUAAGGAUCGGCUAACUACGUG
rnacentral:rRNA from 1 species